rnacentral:rRNA from 1 species
GAUGAACGCUGGCGGCGUGCCUAAUACAUGCAAGUAGAACGCUGAAGCUUGGUGCUUGCACCGAGCGGAUGAGUUGCGCACGGGUGAGUAACGCGUAGGUAACCUGCCUCUUAGCGGGGGAUAACUAUUGGAAACGAUAGCUAAUACCGCAUAAAAGUCGAUAUCGCAUGAUAUUGAUUUGAAAGGUGCAAAUGCAUCACUAAGAGAUGGACCUGCGUUGUAUUAGCUAGUUGGUGAGGUAACGGCUCACCAAGGCGACGAUACAUAGCCGACCUGAAAGGGGGGUCGGCCACACUGGGACGGAGACACGGCCCAGACUCCUACGGGAGGCAGCAGUAGGGAAUCUUCGGCAAUGGGGGCAACCCUGACCGAGCAACGCCGCGUGAGGGAAGAAGGUUUUCGGAUCGUAAAGCUCUGUUGUAAGAGAAGAACGAGUGUGAGAGUGGAAAGUUCACACUGUGACGGUAACUUACCAGAAAGGGACGGCUAACUACGUG